rnacentral:lncRNA from 1 species
AAAUCUGGCAUGUUUAACUACAGAGACAUCAGGAUGUGUUAGAGCUUCUUAAAACAAUAUAACUAAAUGAGCCUAAGCGAUUGUUUCUUUUACUUACCAAAAAAAUCUGAAUUUUAUUUUAUUAUUGCUUAAAUAGCAAUAUUUGGCAGUGGGUGAAAACGUACCUUUCAUAUCAGUGCAAGGAAAAAUUAAAACAGAAAUGAAAAAUGAAGAAGUUGGUUAUACCAGAAAUCACUGAAGGCCUGAGCGCAAGUGUUUCUGGCAUGUUCAAGCAAGCUGGCCAGCACACCAGGAGCAUCAGGAAGAUGAUGCAGAGUCAACCACAGCACACUGUGUCCCAGACUGCCUGCACCAGAGUUCAGACAGUCUUGUCUGCUACCUGCUUUUGUCCCACAGUUGGGUGAGAGUCAUUCUGUAUUUUAUUAUUUUCUUAAUAUAUACACAUAUAUUCUAUUGCCAUUUACCAGUUACUGCCCUGAUCUGUGCAUUUUGAAUCUGUCAGCCAAACCACUUGAGCUUUUGUUUUCCGUGUUGGCCUUAUGCUUAUCUAGGAAAUACAUACCCUCAUAUAACCAUUCAUUUCUCUCAUAUGAUCUUCUGCUUGUCUCUGGUUCACAUGUUUGAAUUUAUUUCCCUGUUGCUCCAUUCCUACUCCUUCACUUGCUGAUGACAAUUUUGCUAGUGACAAAGCCUCCAGAGACUGCAGAGUAGCACAGAUAAGACAGAUUUGGGUUUUGCAGAGGUUUGGGGUUUGCCCACAGUCAAGGAGUGCAAUGGGAGACGAUGGAAGGAGAGGGAGGAAAGUGUCCUGGCCACAGGUGCACAGGGAGACAGGUGCUUAACCAAAC